CCUACGGGUGGCAGCAGUGAGGAAUAUUGGUCAAUGGGCUUACGCCUGAACCAGCCAAGUCGCGUGAGGGAAGACUGCCCUAUGGGUUGUAAACCUCUUUUGUCAGGGAGCAACGCCGGCUACGUGUAGCCGGACUAGGAGUACCUGAAGAAAAAGCAUCGGCUAACGCCGUGCCAGCAGCCGCGGUAAUACGGAGGAUGCGAGCGUUAUCCGGAUUUAUUGGGUUAAAGGGGUGCGUAGGCGGAAUGCCAAGUCAGCGGUAAAAGCGCGGGGCUCAACCCCGCUCCGCCGUUGAAACUGGCGUUCUUGAGAGGGCGAGAAGUAUGCGGAAUGCGCGGUGUAGCGGUGAAAUGCAUAGAUAUCACGCAGAACUCCGAUUGCGAAGGCAGCAUACCGGCGCCCAACUGACGCUGAAGCACGAAAGCGUGGGUAUCGAACAGGAUUAGAUACCCUUGUAGUC
rnacentral:rRNA from 1 species